rnacentral:tRNA from 1 species
GGGGACGUGGUGCAGCCCGGUUAGCACGCCGGUCUGUCACACCGGUGGCCGCGGGUUCAAAUCCCGUCGUCCCCGCCA